GUCCACGCUGUAAACGAUGGAUACUAGAUGUUGGGGUUCGAUCCCCUCAGUGUCGCAGCUAACGCGUUAAGUAUCCCGCCUGGGGAGUACGGUCGCAAGAUUAAAACUCAAAGGAAUAGACGGGGAUCUACACAAGCGGUGGAGCAUGUUGUUUAAUUCGACAAUAAGCGAGGAACCUCACCAAGGCUUGACAUCCCGGGAAUGUCCUCGAAAGAGGAAGGUGCCUUCGGGAACCCGGUGACAGGCGCUGCAUGGUUGUCGU
rnacentral:rRNA from 1 species